rnacentral:rRNA from 1 species
UACAGAGGGGGCAAGCGUUGUUCGGAAUUACUGGGCGUAAAGGGCGCGUAGGCGGCCUGUUAAGUCGAACGUGAAAUCCCCGGGCCCAACCCGGGAACUGCGUCCGAUACUGGCAGGCUUGAAUCCGGGAGAGGGAUGCGGAAUUCCAGGUGUAGCGGUGAAAUGCGUAGAUAUCUGGAGGAACACCGGUGGCGAAGGCGGCAUCCUGGACCGGCAUUGACGCUGAGGCGCGAAAGCCAGGGGAGCAAACGGG